GGGCUCGACUCCUGUUCCUGCUGAACUGAGCCAGUGUGUACAACGAGAACUGAUAUCAGCUCAGUAGGCACCGGAGGGCGGGUCC
ensembl:miRNA